AUUGAACGCUGGCGGCAGGCCUAACACAUGCAAGUCGAACGAGUGGCGGGCGGGUGAGUAAUGUCUGGGAAACCGCCCGAUGGAGGGGGAUAACUACUGGAAACGGUAGCUAAUACCGCAUACCAUCGGAUGUGCCCACAUGGGAUUAGCUAGUAGGUGGGGUAACGGCGCACCUAGGCGACGAUCCCUAGCUGGGCUGAGAGGAUGACCAGCCCCACUGGACCUGAGACAAGGUCCAGACUCCUACGGGAGGCAGCAGUGGGGAAUAUUGCACAAUGGGCGCAAGCCUGAUGCAGCCAUGCCGCGUGUAUGAAGAAGGCCUUCGGGAUGUAAAGUACUUUCAGCGAGGAGGCGUUACUCGCAGAAGAAGCACCGGCUAACUCCGUGCCAGCAGCCGCGGUAAUAC
rnacentral:rRNA from 1 species